AUGGCGUACAAGCUCUCCCUGCCGCCCGCGAGCCAGGUGCAUCCGGUCUUCCACGUAUCCCAGUUCAAGCCAUUCACGCCGGACUAUAUGCCGGUGUACGCAGAGCUGCCGCGCGUGCCGGACCUCUCCGUGUCGACGACGGCACCAACGCAGCUGCUGGAACGGCGCAUGAUGAAGCGCGGGAAUGCUGUCAUCGUGCAAGUCAAGGUGCAGUGGGGCGAAGGAGCGUUAGCCGCCAUGACAUGGGAGGACUGCGAGGUUCUCCGGCAGCGGUUUCCGGCGGCAGCCAUUUGGGAGGACUCGGAGCCAAGCUCCCAGGAGGAAGCUCAGUCUUAA
rnacentral:rRNA from 1 species